AGAGUUUGAUCAUGGCUCAGGAUGAACGCUGGCGGAGUGCCUAACACAUGCAAGUCGAGCGGCAGCGCGAGUAGUUUACUACUUGGCGGCGAGCGGCGGACGGCUGAGUAACGCGUGGGAACAUGCCCCAAAGUGAGGAAUAACUGCCCGAAAGGGUAGCUAAUGCCGCAUACGAUCUUCGGAUUAAAGGAUUUAUCCCGCUUUGGGAGUGGCCUGCGUACGAUUAGAUAGUUGGUGAGGUAAUGGCUCACCAAGUCUACGAUCGAUAACUGGUUUGAGAGGAUGAUCAGUCAGACUGGAACUGAGACACGGUCCAGACUCCUACGGGAGGCAGCAGUGAGGAAUCUUCCACAAUGGACGAAAGUCUGAUGGAGCAACUCCGCGUGCAGGAUGAAGGCCUUCGGGUCGUAAACUGCUUUAUGAGUGAAGAAUAUGACGGUAACUCAUGAAUAAGGGUCGGCUAACUACGUG
rnacentral:rRNA from 1 species